rnacentral:antisense_RNA from 1 species
CAGGUAUAGAACUAUUGAAUGGUAGAGUUUGAGAUCUUCGAAACCAUCAAGACUGAUCAUUUUCUGGCUACUUUCUACAUAGGAAUCCUAGAGUUCCUUGGAGAGGAUAUGAAGGUUAUUUUCAGGCCAUGCAGAUGGGCAGGAAAGGAUGUGCGUCCAUGGUUCCUCUUCAAAUUCAACCAAAACAGCCUUGCUUCCGUUGGCUUUAUAUAAUACUGCAACUCUUGAUAAUUAAUCUGAUUUAACACAAAUUUCCUCAUUGAGUUUCUCCUCAUGAAGAAACGGCCUUAGUGAGGUAAAUCGGAAUGCACAGGAGCACAUAGCAGGCUGGAGUGUAGUGGUAUGAUCACAGCUCACUGCAGCCUCGAACUCCUGGACUCAAACAAUCCUCCUGCCUCAGCCUCCAGAGCAACUGGGAGUAAAGGUGUGUGCCACCAUGCCUGACUAAGUUUUUAAAUUUUUUGUAGAGAUGGGGUCUUGCUAUAUUGACCAGGCUGGUCUUGAACUUCUGGCCUCAAGAAAUCCUCCCACCUGGGCCUCCCAGAGUGCUGGGAUUACAGGAAUGCACCACUGUGCCCAGCCCUAAAUCACUAUUUUUAUUUCCCUUUCUGUAACCGCUCAUCUUUUGUGCAUUUUUCCUUGGGUAUUGGCCUUCUUAUCAAAGUUUAAGAACUGUUUAUAUAUAGGGAUUAACCCUUAGUCUGUUGUAUGAAUUGCAAAUAUACAUGUAUUUUUAUUUGUAUAUGCAAAGUUUAUCUUUUAACUUUGUAUAUGGGAUAGUUUUCCAAGCACAGUUUUAUUUUAUUUUAUUUUUCAUCUUGCAUGUCUUUCCAAAGUACCAAGCAGAGUUUUUUUAAAAGUUGUUUUAUGGCUUCUGGGUUUUUAAAGUCAUAUUUAGAAAGAUCUUUCCCACUCUGAAAUUAAAAAAAUAAAUAAAUAAAAUCUCCCAA